rnacentral:rRNA from 1 species
GAUGAACGCUGGCGGCGUGCCUAAUACAUGCAAGUCGAGCGAACAGACGAGGAGCUUGCUCCUCUGACGUUAGCGGCGGACGGGUGAGUAACACGUGGAUAACCUACCUAUAAGACUGGGAUAACUUCGGGAAACCGGAGCUAAUACCGGAUAAUAUAUUGAACCGCAUGGUUCAAUAGUGAAAGACGGUUUUGCUGUCACUUAUAGAUGGAUCCGCGCCGCAUUAGCUAGUUGGUAAGGUAACGGCUUACCAAGGCAACGAUGCGUAGCCGACCUGAGAGGGUGAUCGGCCCCACUGGAACUGAGACACGGUCCAGACUCCUACGGGAGGCAGCAGUAGGGAAUCUUCCGCAAUGGGCGAAAGCCUGACGGAUCAACGCCGCGUGAGUGAUGAAGGUCUUCGGAUCGUAAAACUCUGUUAUUAGGGAAGAACAAAUGUGUAAGUAACUAUGCACGUCUUGACGGUACCUAAUCAGAAAGCCACGGCUAACUACGUG